rnacentral:rRNA from 1 species
CCUACGGGUGGCAGCAGUGAGGAAUAUUGGUCAAUGGGCGAGAGCCUGAACCAGCCAAGUCGCGUGAGGGAGUACUGCCCUAUGGGUUGUAAACCUCUUUUGUCGGGGAGCAAAAGCCGGACGUGUCCGGCUGUGAGAGUACCCGAAGAAAAAGCAUCGGCUAACUCCGUGCCAGCAGCCGCGGUAAUACGGAGGAUGCGAGCGUUAUCCGGAUUUAUUGGGUUUAAAGGGUGCGCAGGCGGGCCUUUAAGCCGGCGGUGAAAUCGCGGGGCUCAACCCCGCCGAGCCGUCGGAACUGGGGGCCUUGAGUGCGGCGGAGGCAUGCGGAAUGCGCGGUGUAGCGGUGAAAUGCAUAGAUAUCGCGCAGAACCCCGAUUGCGAAGGCAGCGUGCCGUGCCGCCACUGACGCUGAGGCACGAAAGCGCGGGGAUCGAACAGGAUUAGAUACCCUGGUAGUC